rnacentral:rRNA from 1 species
UACGUAGGCAGCGAGCGUUGUUCGGAGUUACUGGGCGUAAAGAGUGCGUAGGCGGUUUUCUAAGUUUGGUGUGAAAUCUCCCGGCUUAACUGGGAGGGUGCGCCGAAGACUGGAAGGCUUGAGUAUGGGAGAGGUAAGCGGAAUUCCUGGUGUAGCGGUGAAAUGCGUAGAUAUCGAGAGGAACACCUGCGGCGAAGGCGGGUCUCUGGACAGUUCCUGACGCUGAGGCACGAAGGUCAGGGGAGCAAACGGG